rnacentral:rRNA from 1 species
GACGAACGCUGGCGGUGUGCUUCACACAUGCAAGUCGAACGAGGUAGCAAUACCUAGUGGCGGACGGGUGAGUAACGCGUGGGAAUCUGCCCAUAGGUGGGGGAUAACUAGCCGAAAGGUUAGCUAAUACCGCAUAUGCCGAGAGGUAAAAGGAGUAAUCCGCCUUUGGAUGAGCCCGCGUCCGAUUAGCUAGUUGGUAGGGUAAAAGCCUACCAAGGCUACGAUCGGUAGCUGGUCUGAGAGGAUGAUCAGCCACAAUGGGACUGAGACACGGCCCAUACUCCUACGGGAGGCAGCAGUGGGGGAAUUUUACGCAAUGGGGGGAAACCCUGACGUAGCGACACCGCGUGAACGAAGAAGCCCUUUGGGGUGUAAAGUUCUGUCGGCUGGAACGAAAAAAUGACGGUACCAGCAAAGGAAGCAUCGGCUAACUACGUGCCAGCAGCCGCGGUAAU